UUGUAACCUGCCAAACAGUACAACUCGUGAACAUGUAACUACACGUGGGGGGAGAAGGAGUGCAAGCUCUUUCUCUCCUCGUUUCAGGUAGUUUCCGGUAUUUAACCACUACAUUGUCUUUAUGCUUGUAGUGGAGUAACUUCCGGGUACUCCUGGCCUAACAAAAACCACGGCGUGAAUUGCGCCAAGGAAUUUUAUGAAAGAUCCUUCCUCCUUUGAUGUGUUAUCGCAUCAAUUCGGAGGAGGUGUCAUCUUCGUGAUGUCUUUAAUGACUCUCGGCAACGGAUAUCUCGGCUCUCGCAUCGAUGAAGAACGUAGCGAAAUGCGAUACUUGGUGUGAAUUGCAGAAUCCCGUGAACCAUCGAGUUUUUGAACGCAAGUUGCGCCCGAAGCCACUUGGUUGAGGGCACGUCUGCCUGGGCGUCUCGUACACACAUCAUAUCACAAACCAUUCCCAAAUUUUUGGUGCAUGAGUUAGUGGUGAGAUGAUAUUGGUCUCCCGUGCUGUAGUGUUGCGGUUGACUUAAAAAAGAGUACCUAGUGACAAGACGUCACAAUAAGUGGUGGUUUUAAGCCAAUUAUGGUUUUACCGAAUCGAGUUGUGAGUGUUUGUCACUUUGAAGUGCUCGAGUUGAAUCCCCACACGUCU
rnacentral:rRNA from 1 species